UACGUAGGGCGCAAGCGUUGUCCGGAAUUAUUGGGCGUAAAGAGCUCGUAGGCGGUUUGUCGCGUCUGUCGUGAAAGCUUGGGGCUUAACCCUAAGUCUGCGGUGGAUACGGGCGGGCUGGAGUUCGGUAGGGGAGACUGGAAUUCCUGGUGUAGCGGUAAAAUGCGCAGAUAUCAGGAGGAACACCGGUGGCGAAGGCGGGUCUCUGGGCCGAUACUGACGCUGAGGAGCGAAAGCGUGGGGAGCGAACAGG
rnacentral:rRNA from 1 species